UUUAUUCUGUUUUUGCGUUUGUCCUGAUAAAGUGAAAAUGCGGCUCACUUGGGCGGAACUCAAGUUUAUCUUUUGGCAUGUAGUUCGGCAGACAUGAUACAUAACAGUCUAUGACCAUAACGCGCAGUAAUUAUGCCGUGCUCUGCCUUCACAGCUCAUGUACUUUGCUGUCUUUUUCUUUGGGGAUGUGUGGCAGAGAGUAUGCGUACAUUACCUCAUGUAGAGCAGUUUGAUGUGGUGAGACCUAAAAGACAGAGCAUCAGAAAGGUACAGUCUGAUAAAAGUCCACAAAGCCAUGAGACGUAUCCUGAUAGACUCACAUAUAAAUUAUUCUUUGGAGGGAAAGAUCACCUCAUUCAUUUGGAAAAGAACAGGUGAGUGUUGCAUUUGGGUGUAUUAUAUUUCAAAGUCUUUUCUGUACA
rnacentral:lncRNA from 1 species